GUCCCAGUUCCCGGUGCCCAGGGUUUGCCCAACAUCAUCGAGGGUCAGACCUGUUGGCCGCACAACCGAGGCAAGAACUCUGAGCUGGAGGAGUGGCUGAGAGACGCAGCAAGGAUGAGCGUCAGAACAAGAAAGAGGAGACUUUGGGAGAUGACCUUUUCAGGUACAACCCCAAACCCACCAAGAAAAGAUGAGAGCACCUGGUUGUAACAUGUGAAGCCCUGCAGACAAAUGUUCAUCUUAAGACACAGGAAGGGAUGCCAACACCCCAUGGAAUGUUUUGCGCUUCUAGAAUUCUCAGUUUGAUAGAACUGCCAUCUCCGCUUCACUGAUAAUGUUCAUGAAUGGAUCUUUGAGGUAACUCUUGAUCAUUGUACUCAAAAUGACCAGAGGGGCCUGUCAAUGACAAAUGUUUAAACAUUUUUUUGUCGGUGAUAGAUGUGGGCAGAAAUGUCUAACUUUCUAUGUACUGUACACUAAUUAUAUACCUUGAUUUAGUCACUGAUGGCGAGCAAUGUAAACAAAUAAAUAGGUGUUCCGUUUCAAGAUUUUUAUUUGUUCAUAAUAGAAAAUACAGUAUACAAAACAUAUUAGAAAGUCAUUUGAGUUGUACAAGAGAGGAGUCCAACUCGACCACGCACAAAGCAGCGUGUCUGUCUGUUGUGAACAGGAGAAGACCGUGGGUUAUGUGUUGUAAGACAGUAGUAGAAAACCCUGGUUAGACCCCAGGGGUUGGGGAACCUGCUGUUUCCUUUUCUUAUUAAUCAACCCCUAGUUAAGGCACCUACUGUGUAGAUUGGACAUGUAGGUGUAAUUAGCCAUAAGCUGAUGGCCUAUCUGGGGGCAAGGUUGAGUGACUACCACCACCUUACAAUUACACCUAUCCACUGAUUCAUCUUUUCAGGUCUGGAUGUAGUGCUUAAGGGCUGGUUAGUUUGGAAUACAGCAUAUUGACCAGGAACUGUCCAUACAUUUUCAGUUUGCUGAUCUGGUCAACAAUCUAUAUUUUAUCCCAAUUCCACAAUUUGUUUCAUUUUUUCUUUUCUGCAAGCAGCUUCAGUCUUGAGGAUGACUGCAUGCGGAAAUAAACGGCAUAUGAAUACACACAUUCUAAAGGCGACUGAUUGGUUCAAUAAAUGAAUGAAACUCCA